rnacentral:rRNA from 2 species
CCGAUGAGGUGGAAACGGACAGAGCUGGCGUAUCUGGCCUGCAUUCAGCCGCCGCGCGUCGGGCCCCGGUUUGCCGCACUCCAGAUUGGGAAGGUGGCUGGGCUGCUGGCGUGUCGGUGGUGCAUUUGCAGGUGGAGUGCGCCGAGGCGCUCGGCUCAGCGGCAUGAGCUCGGCUUUGAGGCCAGUCGCGCAAGCGGUCUGGUACCCGGGUCGGGGGAGUGUUGUUUGGGCUGAGUGUUCGCUUGGGCACCGGUUUCGGGCCCGGGUGGGUGCCGAGCUGGCGGUGGACGGCGGUCGCGUGCGACACGUGUCUUCAGUCAGUUCGGUCCUGCUCGAGCUCUCGCGUGUCCGGCCUCGGUGUAAAAGCCGGUCAUCUGUCCGACCCGUCUUGAAACACGGACCAAGGAGUUUAGCGUGUGCGCGAGUCAUUGGGCGUUGAAAACCCAAAGGCGCAAUGAAAGUGAAGGUCUGCCUUGUGCAGCUGAUGUGUGAUCCUGGGCGCCGCGGUGCCCGGGCGCAACAUAGUCCCGUCCCGACUGCAUGCAGUGGGGCGGAGACAGAGCGUACGCGCUGAG